GAUGAACGCUGGCGGCGUGCUUAACACAUGCAAGUCGAACGGAAAGGCCCUGCUUUUGUGGGGUGCUCGAGUGGCGAACGGGUGAGUAACACGUGAGUAACCUGCCCUUGACUUUGGGAUAACUUCAGGAAACUGGGGCUAAUACCGGAUAGGAGCUCCUGCUGCAUGGUGGGGGUUGGAAAGUUUCGGCGGUUGGGGAUGGACUCGCGGCUUAUCAGCUUGUUGGUGGGGUAGUGGCUUACCAAGGCUUUGACGGGUAGCCGGCCUGAGAGGGUGACCGGCCACAUUGGGACUGAGAUACGGCCCAGACUCCUACGGGAGGCAGCAGUGGGGAAUAUUGCACAAUGGGCGGAAGCCUGAUGCAGCAACGCCGCGUGCGGGAUGACGGCCUUCGGGUUGUAAACCGCUUUCGCCUGCGACGAAGCGUGAGUGACGGUAAUGGGUAAAGAAGCACCGGCUAACUACGUG
rnacentral:rRNA from 1 species